AGGACGAACGCUGGCGGCGUGCUUAACACAUGCAAGUCGAACGAGGUGCUUGCACCUAGUGGCGAACGGGUGAGUAACACGUGAGCAACCUGCCCUUGGCUCUGGGAUAGCCUCCGGAAACGGGGAUUAAUACCGGACAUGACCUUCUUCCGCAUGGUGGAGGGUGGAAAGUUUUUCGGCCAGGGAGGGGCUCGCGGCCUAUCAGCUUGUUGGAGGGGUAACGGCCCACCAAGGCGACGACGGGUAGCCGGCCUGAGAGGGCGACCGGCCACACUGGGACUGAGACACGGCCCAGACUCCUACGGGAGGCAGCAGUGGGGAAUAUUGCACAAUGGGGGAAACCCUGAUGCAGCGACGCCGCGUGCGGGAUGAAGGCCUUCGGGUUGUAAACCGCUUUCACCAGGGACGAAGCGAGAGUGACGGUACCUGGGGAAGAAGCGCCGGCUAACUACGUGCCAGCAGCCGC
rnacentral:rRNA from 1 species